GACGAACGCUGGCGGCGUGCUUAACACAUGCAAGUCGAACGGAAAGGCCCUGCUUUUGUGGGGUGCUCGAGUGGCGAACGGGUGAGUAGCACGUGAGUAACCUGCCCUUGACUUUGGGAUAACUUCAGGAAACUGGGGCUAAUACCGGAUAGGAGCUCCUGCUGCAUGGUGGGGGUUGGAAAGUUUCGGCGGUUGGGGAUGGACUCGCGGCUUAUCAGCUUGUUGGUGGGGUAGUGGCUUACCAAGGCUUUGACGGGUAGCCGGCCUGAGAGGGUGACCGGCCACCUUGGGACUGAGAUACGGCCCAGACUCCUACGGGAGGCAGCAGUGGGGAAUAUUGCACAAUGGGCGGAAGCCUGAUGCAGCAACGCCGCGUGCGGGAUGACGGCCUUCGGGUUGUAAACCGCUUUCGCCUGUGACGAAGCGUGAGUGACGGUAAUGGGUAAAGAAGCACCGGCUAACUACGUG
rnacentral:rRNA from 1 species